CUCGGGGGCUAGGAACUGAGGGUUAAGUGAGGCUACGGGCCAGGUAGCGGUCGCUUCCAUCCUUGAAGUGGAGCGGAAAUGCUACUUUCUUCCUGCCAGGGGACGCGGUUGGGCUCUAGGGCUGCAUCAACGCAGAAACAUGGGUUGGACGCAGCUGGAAUGGGAACAGGGUCUCUCAAACUGUUUGCAAGUCAGAAAGAAAUCAUUCUGUUGGUCAUUAAUGAUUAUCAAGGUAAAGAGAAUCACAGAGAGGAGGCUGAACUAGACCGAAAACACUGAAUCACAUACAGUGAACUUAACGCUGCUCUAUAAAAAGUCAAGCUCAGCUCUGCAGUGACUAUUCAUGAUCUCCCUGGGGAAAGUGCAGCAACAGUCAUGCAAUGAAGAGUUUGACGCAUUCAAGGAGGCACCAACAUUUGAGAGCAGUUGUUAUUCACCUAAGACCACAAUAGGUACAGGCUGUAAAGUAAGGCAAACCGUCGCGUUGGUCCUGGACCGCGGCCCCUUUUUCGGGGCCGGACUCUGGUAGCCACUUCCCAGGCCCCGCCCCUCAUCGUGAUACCGUAAGUGCGCCUGCGCGUUUGCGUAUGCACGUGCGCGGGGCGUCGGCCAUCUGAGCUACGCGCUGCAGCCUGCCGCUGACGUGAAGUAUUUCUCUGCGGCGUCCGCCCUCGGUACGACCUCGCAGGAGGCGAGAGACCCCGACGAGGCGCGCGGCCUCAAAGGGGGCUCGCCUAGCGCACAUCCCUAUCCGCCGCAGCCUCCAGCACGUGCUCCGGGGUGCCGGCUCUUCAUCCGCCGGGGUCGCGACGGCCGCGGCGCGAGA